AUGUAUUGCAGCACCACGACCGCCAGUGAGCGUUGCAUUGCAACGCCGGCGAGCUGCAUUGCAGCUCCGUGCCACGAAUGCCGGCGAGCGCUCUAUUGCAGCGUCGGAAGGGAGCUCCGGCGAGCCUCCAUUGCAUCGCCGAGAAGAAGCGCCGACAAGCGCUCCAUUGCAGUGCGGAUAAGCUCUUCAUUUGAAGUGCCAAGAAGAAGCACCGACGAGCUCUCCAUUGCAGCCACAGAUGCACCGCGGAAGUGGCCGCACACCAUCACAGCAAGACAUAGCAGCAAUUUGUCGCCUUAG
rnacentral:rRNA from 1 species